UUCCUACGGGGGGCAGCAGUCGGGAAUAUUGCGCAAUGGAGGAAACUCUGACGCAGUGACGCCGCGUGCAGGAGGAAGGUUUUCGGAUUGUAAACUGCUUUAGACAGGGAAGAAACAAGACAGUACCUGUAGAAUAAGCUCCGGCUAACUCCGUGCCAGCAGCCGCGGUAAUACGGAGGGUGCAAGCGUUACUCGGAAUCACUGGGCGUAAAGAGCGCGUAGGCGGGAUAGCAAGUCAGAUGUGAAAUCCUAUGGCUUAACCAUAGAACUGCAUUUGAAACUGUUAUUCUAGAGUAUGGGAGAGG
rnacentral:rRNA from 1 species